rnacentral:tmRNA from 1 species
GGGGGCGAUCUGGGUUCGACGGGGGUGAGAAAGCGAGAGCUGCGUGCCGGGGGUCCUGUUCACCCCGCAACCCGAGCAGGGCUGCUUAACUGCAGACGACAACUACGCACUGGCUGCCUAAUUAGGCCGCCACGCUCGACCUGCCUGCGCCCGUAGGGCGGGCUCGAGCGUCAUAACUUCGGGCUGGGUCCCCGCGACCGCCGGCGGCGCGGGGGCCGAGACACAACGCCGGCUGGCCGCGCGAGAUCCCGCCUGCGGGAGCGAGCGCGGCGAGAGCAAAGCGCAGGCUACGCACGUAGAGGCGAUCGCGGAUGCACCUUCGGACGGGGGUUCGAUUCCCCCCGCCUCCACUG